rnacentral:rRNA from 1 species
ACGAAGGGUGCAAGCGUUACUCGGAAUUACUGGGCGUAAAGGGUGCGUAGGUGGUUUUUUAAGUCUGCUGUGAAAUCCCCGGGCUCAACCUGGGAAUGGCAGUGGAUACUGGCAGGCUGGAGUAUGGUAGAGGAAGGUGGAAUUCCCGGUGUAGCAGUGAAAUGCGUAGAGAUCGGGAGGAACACCAGUGGCGAAGGCGGCCUUCUGGACCAAUACUGACGCUCAUGCACGAAAGCGUGGGGAGCAAACAGGA